rnacentral:piRNA from 1 species
UAAGACCAAAGGCCUGCUACUGUGAGC